rnacentral:lncRNA from 1 species
CUUGGGGAAAUGUACUAAAUUUGGGUUGUUUUACUAAAUGGUUUUUGAUUCCUUCAGUUACCAGUGACACAAUCUCCUCUCAGGUUUCUAGGCAUGCUCAUUGUUGGAUGACUGUCUAGACAGAUGGUGAGGUCCCUGAGUGUAGCUAACAUGUAUUGUUGCUGGUCUCAGCGCUACAUCCUUCUGCAGUUUUCUUACGGAAUCCUUUCCCACCCUGUUAAUCACGUCCUCCAGAAAGCUGCUCAAUUAUCUUAUCCCAUCAGUCUCACUCAGCAACCACCAUCAUCAGAAUAAAAUGUAAUGUAGGAGUUACCGUGUGACCCAGCACUUCUGCCCUUAGCUAUAUACCCAAGAGAAUGGAAAUAUGCAUUCACACAAAAACUAGUACACAAAUGUUCACAUUUGUCACAGCCAAAAACUGAGAGCAACCCAAAUGUCCAUCAACAGAUGGAUGAGGAAAAUGUCGUUUAUGGAUAUAAGGGAAUAUUACGCAGACAUAAAACUGAAGGCUAUUUUGAUACCAACUCCUCAUGGAGGACCUUGAGGACACUGCGCUAAGUAAAAUGAGCUAGUCAUGAAAGUAUAAAUUUCGCACGAUUGCUCUACUAUGAGGGUCCUAGAGAAGUCAAAUUCAGAGACAGAAGGGAGAAUGGUGGCUGCCAGGAAUGGGAGGAGAGGGGAAUGGGGAGUUAGUGUUUAAUGGGACAGAGUUUCAGUCGAAGAUGAAAAAGUCCUGGAAGUGGACGGUGCUGAUGGUCGCACAAUAAUGUGAAUGUGCUUACUGUCACAGAACUGUACACUGAAAAGUGGUUAAAAUGGCAAAUGUAAUGCCAUGUAUACUUUCCAAAGUAAAGUAAAAGAAUGAUGUGCUUAUCUACCACAUGGACGAACUUUGAAAACCUCAUGCUAAGUGAAAGGAGCUAGACAUAAAAGGACACAUACUGCAUGAUUCCAUGUAGACUGAAUUUCAAGAGUCAGCAAAUCCAUGGAGACAGAAGCCAGUUUCUAGAAAAGAGGAGGAGGAAAUUUCCCUCCCACCGAAAUGCAGCAGAAUCAAAGAGACAUUUGUGAAUCACAACCUGCCCAAAGAAGCUGAUGUGAUCAAGCGUCUCAUAAGUGAGAACAUCAGUAAGACUCUCAGUGCCCUGAAGCAGCAAAGAAAGACGUGGGUUCUUCUUUUGGGAAUGGCAGGACUGAGGAGGAAGUCAGGAGGCACCAGGCUGUUCUUGGGGCACAGAAUGACUUCCUUACACGACACUCUCCAGCCAAGCAGCUGUGAGGAGAGAAGAGGAGGAAGCGCCAGGGAGCCCAGAGCCACCAGACAGUGACGCCACAGAGCCACAGCCAUCACACCCGCACAGACACACACCGUCCUCUGCCGUUCAGGCCCGAGAGUCCCGUGAGGACUGGUGUCCCUACUACCGGCCUCCACGCUGUGAGCGCUUCCGCCGCCACCCCUCCUGGUUCACGUCGGGCUCCGAAUUGACUCGCUUCACAGGAUUCCCGCAUCCUGUGCUAACACAUCCACAAACGAGCUCCACUCACCUUGCGAAGAGGGAGAACCGCGCGAAAACGGAAUGGAAGCCAAAGAGCUGGCGUGACCGCUGCCGUCUGGGAAGUGUCGCUCCAACCUGAACAUCUCUGGGCGCGGCGGCUCGUCCGAAAGGCCACCGAAGCGCGGAAGUCCCGGUGGAACGACAACGCGAGAACCGCCCGGAGCCCAGCCCGAGCGCAGGUCUCUCAGCCAGGAGCGCGACGCGAGGGCGCGUGCGCGGGCACGGAGCCUGAGCGGAGGCCGCUGGUGCGCGUGCUCGGUCCAGAGGCGCCGCUGCGCCCAGGAGGCCGAGCAGGGCGGCCCGGCGCCGGCUCCGAGCGUCCGGCCUGUGCGCGCAGAGCCGCGCGGGAGGUCGGCGGGGCGGCCCCGGGGCGAGAGCGCACGGCGGGUGUGAGCUCUGAGGGCGGGGCCCCGGACGAGUCCCCUCAGGCGGCUGCAGCCUGGCGACAGCAUACGGGGCAAGCAACUCCUGAUCCCGCGGGGGAUGAGCCGGUUUAUUCAGUGUCUGUUAGCUGCGUUUAAAGGGUGUGCAGGAGUGAAGUAAUACAUAUUUACUUAAUUCUUUAGGCUAAGCUGUAAUAGUCAAAAUGGAAUGAAUAAUUAUUUGUAGAAGUUCUGUGGUGAAAAUUAUGUAGAUAUUUUGUAAUAUUGAUUCAGGGACAGAUUUUCCAAGCAUGCCCAAAGAGAGGGAUGUUAUUAAAAUUUUAAGAGUUGACUGGAUAAUUAGUUGUAAUCAUCCUAAUCACUUGAAUGCAAAUCAAUUAAUAAAAGUUAAUCCUAGACAAAGAUUUGAUAGACUUAUUUUUAAAAAAUAUAAUGAGCACACUGAUAAUAAUCUUAAUUCCAUUUUUUCUCAAUAAGAUUGUUGUCAGUAAUCUAAGAGGAAAGGGAAUGGUGAACUGCCAUAUGACCCAGCCAUCCCACUACUGGGUAUCUCUUCAAAGAGCUUGAAGUCAGGAAUUCCCAAAGUCCUAUGCACCCCAAUGUUUAUUGCAGCAUUAUUUACAAUAGCC